UUCCAGAGACAAGAGAGUACAGGUUUUCAUCGUAAUGAUUGUGAGACUUAUAUUUUUGUUUGUGGCUGUUAGUAGCCAUUUUCUAUUUCCUAUAAUUUCCCUACAAUCAAUACAACUUCAAUGUCUUGUUUUAAAUAAAUGAUAAUUGUGGAGAUUCAUAUGAUAGACCUCCAAUUAGGCACACCUAUAUUAGGCUUGGGGGCUAAGUAUGGUAAUAGCUAAGUUUGGUAAUUUACAAGGAUAUGGAAUCAAUUUGCUAUCUGUUUGAUUUGGAAUGUAUCAAUUUGCUAUCUGUUUAUUUAGGAAUGUUUUUGUAAUUAAAUAACAAGAGAGUGUAGGGGGAGGCAUGUCUUUUUCUUGAUCUGUAUUGAGCCUUAGCUCUUGGAGAGAAACCGAGACUCGAAUUUCCCAAACUAUCAAUAAAACACUCUAUUCCUUCUUAUCUCUUCAUCUAGCCUACUACAAUGUAUCAAUUGGCGUCGUUUGUCUCCUAACUCCAUGGUGACCAAGAUGGAAUCUCGGGUGGAAGCCGUUGAAGGCCUCCUCUCUACUGUCCAAACUGAGUUGCUUACCAUCAAAGAGGACUUGCAGCGGCUACCCGUUUUGGAGCAAAGCGUUGCUGCCUUGGUUAGUCGGUUGGAAGACUUUAUGACUGUCCAAGCGGAGCGGCAGGUGCACCCGACGGUGGCUGAUCGGACCUAGGCUUCGGCAUCCAAACCAGCCCCUCACGUGCACUCCGUUCCCUCUUCGUUGGUGUCGGGUAUGGCUGUCAGCCCAGGAGGCAGAGGCUCUUGGGUUGGUGGGUCUUCUCGGGACACUCCCGCCCCGGCGCCGAGAUGGGAUAUCCGUCCCCGCCGCAUCGAGCUUUCUUCCUUUGACGGCGACAACCCAGAUGGUUGGGUCUUGAAGGCUGAACGUUUCUUUUCUCUUCACCGGUUGACUUAUGCCGAGUGCCUUGAGACCGCGAUUACCAGCCUUGAAGGAGAGGCGCUGAUCUGGUUCCAGUGGGAGAAUCGUCGCCGUUCAUUCGUGUCGUGGGCCGAUCUCCGGCGGCAGAUGGUACGACGCUUCCGGCUUCUGCCCGAUGGCUCAAAGUAUCGUGCGAUUUUGGCCUUGAAGCAAACGGGCUCUGUAUGUGACUAUCGGAAGCAGUUCGAGUUAUUUGCGUCUUCUUUGGAGGGUCUCUCUAAAAAGGUAAUGGAAUCUACUUUUAUUAAUGGGAUUUUAUCUGAAAUUGGACAUGAGGUUACUAUAUUGAGCCUUAGUGGGCUUGAGGAGACCAUGGAAUUUGCCCAACAUGUGGAGACUAAAUUAUUGGCCCAAAAAAGAGCUAAACCAGCCAUGAGAGUACCCUUCUCUCGUUUUAGUAGGACACAUAAGGGCCCACUAAACUCCACUCCUCCACCGAGGACUACGACAAUUGCCGAGGACAGUCGCACUUCAUGGCGCUACCGUCUUCUCCAAGCUUGACCUCAAAUCUGGUUACCACCAGAUUCGAGUUCAACCUACCAAUGUGCCCAGGACAGCUUCUCGCACUCACGAGGGUCACUGAGUUUCUGGUCAUGCCUUUUGGCCUCACCAACGCCCCGGCCACGUUCCAAUCAUUGAUGAAUGAGGGUUUUACAAAUUUGUCCAAGCAUAAACUCUACGAAUUUCAGAAAAUAUCUAUUUGCAAGGGCGAAAUUGGAGUACUUGGGUCACAUCAUUUCAGGUAUGGGAGUGGCAGCCGACCAAGCAAAAGUACAGGCUAUGUUAGAUUGGCUUGUUUCGAGGAACAUCAAGGAACUGCGAGGAUUCUUAGGGCUUACUGGUUACUACCGCAAGUUUGUUCGAGGCUAUAGUGAGAUUGUAUGGCCCCUCACCGAAUAGUUGAAGAAGGAUCAACUUGGGUGGAAUGACUAUGCUGCUGCUGCUUUUGAUGCCCUCAAACACGCCAUGACCACUGUUUCGGUUUUAGCCCUCCCUGAUUUUACCAAGCCGUUCAUAGUAGAGACAGAUGCGUCCGGCUACGGAGUGGGUGCUGUAUUAAUGUAGGAACAAUGACUGGUGGCUUUUUACAGUCAAGUUUUGGGGCACCAAGCCCGAACUAAUCCGAUUUAUGAGAAGGAGUUGAUGGCUAUUGUCUUUGCUAUUAAAAAAUGGCGACCUUAUUUGCUUGGGCGGCGUUUUGUGGUUCGCACUGACCAGCAGAGUCUAAAAUUUUUAUUGGAACAACGCAUUGUGGCUCUUGAGUACCAGAAGUGGAUGGCUAAGUUGCUGGGGUAUGAUUUCGAAAUCCAAUAUCGAUCGGGGGCUGGCAAUAAGGCGGUCGAUGCUCUAUCUCGAGUUUCCCACCCGGUGGAAUGUCAUAAUAUACUACUGUCACAGGGAAUUGACUUGGAAGUAUUACACCAAGAACUACUACAAGAUGACUUUGUAAGCAGAAUUGUUUUCGAUUUACACCAAGGGAAGGCUCGCGCUGCUGGGUUCUCCCUGGAACAUGGACAAUUGAGGUAUAAAGGGCGCUUAAUGUUGUCCAAAAUGCGCUCUCUUAUCCCCACCAUACUCAAGGAGUACCAUGAUUUUGCUCUUGAGGGACAUUUCAGUGUGGAUAUAACUUUCAAACACAUUGCAUUCGAUUUUUACUGGCUGGGAAUGAGAAAGGCCGUGGCUGAAUGGGUGCGCAAUUGCAAAGUGUGCUAGAAACAGAAGUCCUUAGCCAUGUCUCCUGUUGGGUUAUUACAGCCCAUUGCUUUGCCCUCCUUGGUUUGGGAAUACUUGACCAUGGAUUUUAUAGAGGGAUUGUCUCGUUCAAAUGGUAUGGAUACAAUCUUGGUUGUGGUGGAUCAGUUGAGCAAAUACGCUCACUUCAUUCCAUUGAGGCAUCCUUUUAUGGCUAAAAUAGUGGCUGAGGUAUUUGUUCGAGAAGUCGUUCGUCUACACGGAAUUCCGGGAUCUAUCAGUUCUGAUCGUGAUAAGGUCUUCAUGAGUCAUUUCUGGCAAGAGUUGUUCAAGCUCCAGGGCACGGAGCUCUGUCACAGCAUCGCAUACCAUCCGCAAAUAGAUGGUCAAUCUGAGGUUGUCAAUCGAUGUUUGGAGACUUAUUUGCGCUGCUAUGCCUUAGAGAAACCCCGAACUUGGUUUGCUUGGCUCGCUUGGGUAGAAUAUUGGUACAACACCUCAUUCCAUGUGUCAUCGAAACACACCAUUUCGGAUUCUCUAUGGUCGCAAUCCUCCUUCACUCAUUCGGUACAAGUCUGGCUCCACCCCAGUUUCUUCUGUUAAGGAAAUGUUAGAAGAACGAGAUGCGCAACUUGAUGACCUCAAAAUGCAUAUGCUCUGCGCCCAACAGAAGAUGAAGUUAACGACGGAUAAGAAGCAACGUGAUGAUCAUUUUGAAGUGGGUGAGAAGGUAUUUGUCAAGUUGAAGCCUUACCGCCAGAAAUCUAUUGCUGCCAGGCGCAAUGAAAAGCUCUCUCCUUGCUUCUACGGGCCUUUUGAAGUACUCGCACGCAUUGUUCAGGUCGCUUAUAAGUUGGCAUUACUUGCCACCUCUUCGGUGCAUCCGGUGUUUCAUAUUUCUCAGCUUCGGCGAGCCCAUGGUGUGCAUCACUCUUCCCCAUUGUUGCCACCUCAAUUGAAUCUCGAUCUGGAGUUGUUGGUUGAACCUGUUGAUAUGGGUGUUUGGAAUGCCAAAGCUGAUGGAAGCGGCGAAGUGGAAGUACUCAUCAAAUGGAAGGACCUACCGAUCUUUGAGGCCACUUGGGAACGCUAUGACACCAUGGUCCAACAAUUUCCUUCUUUCACCUUGCGGACAAGGUGAAAGUUUGGGAGGGGGGUAAUGAUAGACCUCCAAUUAGGCACACCUAUAUUAGGCGCACGAAUCGAGGGGCUAAGUAUGGUAAUAACUAAGUUUGGUAAUUUACAAGGUUAUGGAAUCAAUUUGCUAUCUAUUUGAUUUGGUAUGUAUCAAUUUGCUAUUUGUUUGAUUUGGAAUGUAUCAAUUUGCUAUCUGUUUAUUCAGGAAUGUUUUUGUAAUUAAAUAACAAAAGAGUGUAGUGGGAGGCAUGUCUUUUUCUUAAUCUGUAUUGAGUCUUGGCUCUUGGAGAGAACCUGGGACUCGAAUUUCCCAGGCUAUCAAUAAAACACACUCUAUUUUCCUUCGUAUCUCUUCAUCUAGCCUAUUGCAGUGUAUCAUCAUAGUUUCUUUUACUGUGGCAAUUAUGUUGUAUCAUGCAAUACACACAUAUAUUUAUGAGUACUCUUAAUGGUUACUAGCCAUGAAUAUUUACUUUAAUAUUAACUAUCGUAUUAUGAUCAAUGAUUUAUAUUUAUUGUUGUUAAUUAAUAUUUCUUGAAAUCAGUGAGAGAAAAAGAAGAUAUCUUUUUUAUUCACUUAACUUAAUAAUACAAACUGAAGAGCUCCUUUAAAUAACUAUACAAUAAGCCUUUUAAUGUUAAUAUUCCUUAAACCUAGGGUUGUUACAACUGAGCCACUUUUCCAGGCAGACCUAUUCUAACAACUAAUAAAAAGAAUAAUAAUAAUAAAAUUAAUAUACACGUAUCAUUUUUAACACUCCCCCUCAAGCUGGUGUGUAGAUAUUUAUCAUGCCCAACUUGCUUAAAAAAUCGUUAGACUUUUGUUGAGUCAGCCCUUUGGUGAGUACAUCAGUUGUUUGUUGUUUAGUAGGCACAAAUACAAUACAGAUUAUUCCAUUCUCCAUCUUCUCGUUGAUGAAAUGUCUAUCAAUCUCUAUGUGCUUCGUUCGAUCAUGAUGAACGGGGUUAUGAGCCAUGCUUAUAGCAUCUUUGUUGUCACUGUACAACUUCAUUGGUAGUUGGGUCUCCAUUCCUAGCUCUGCCAGUACUCUUUUUAUCCACAGUAGCUCGCAUGUGCCUUGUGCCAAUGCCCUUAGUUUAGCUUCUGCACUACUUCUAGCCACAACACGCUGUUUUUUACUUCUCCAAGUUACCAAGUUACCCCAGACCAUUGAACAAUAACCUGUUGUGGACUUCCUGUCUUUAGUGCAACCAGCCCAAUCAGCGUCAGUGAAAAUCUCAACUGUUCUAUUCUCCCCCUUACCAAAAAAUAAUCCUUUUCCAAGAGUCAUCUUCAAAUAUCGAAGGAUUCUGUUCACUGCCAGCAGAUGUUCCUCGUUGGGAGAAUGCAUAAACUGACUUACACGACUGACUGCAAAGACUAUAUCUGGCCUAGUGUGUGAGAGAUAGAUCAGUCUUCCUACUAACCUUUGGUAUUGUUCUUUGUCUACUGGAGCAUAUUCUUUAUUUUGGUUGAACUUGUGAUUCACUUCCACAGGUGUAGCAGCAGGCUUACUACCAAGCAUUCUGGUUUCCUUUAGCAAAUUGAUAGACCUCCUCUGUUAGUCUAUAAGAGGAGGGGCCGAACAUAAAAUGUGGCUGUUAUUUUGAGUUUUUUUGUAUUCUUUUAGAUUCUGUAAUUGGGGGGGCUGAGCUGUCCUUUUGUUGUAGGCUCCUAGUUGGUAGUAAUUAAUUGUAACUAGUGCCUAUGUUAAGGAGAGGAGGUCUUUCUUGGAAUAUAGAGAAUUGUAUAGAGAAGUUUGUGGAGAGUUUCACCCUCUCGAAAGGUGAAGAUAGGAGAGUAGAGCCUCUCGAACAGCUCUGUGAUUGUAUCUACUUUUCUGUGACCAAUAAAAAGCUUCUUUGAGGGAAUCAAUUCUGGUGUUGUGUUAUUGAUAGAAAUUACUAACUAAGAAGAUUCUAUCAAAUUGGUAAGAAGAUUCCAAAAAAAUCAGCUCUUUUGCAGAAAAUUAUGGCUGAAUUCCAUACUACUCCUAUAGGUGGUCAUUCCGGUGAACUAAAGACAUUUAAACGAGUACAGGCUGAACUGUUUUGGGAAGGUAUGCGGAAGGAUAUCGCUAAAUUUGUGCAAAGGUGCACUACAUGUCAGCAGAAUAAAUAUGUGACAACCACACCCGCUGGUCUUUUGCAAUCUAUUCCAUUACCGGCACAAGUUUGGGACGAGAUCACCAUGGAUUUCAUUGAGGGCUUGCCUAACUCUGCGGGUUGGGACACUAUAUUGGUAGUAAUUGACCGUCUUUCCAAGUAUGCUCAUUUUUUGAAGCUUCGUCACCCUUUUACAGCCAGCACAGUGGCUGAUCAAUUCAUGCAAGAAGUAGUACGAUUACAUGGAUUGCCACUCUCCAUAAUAACAGAUCGAGACUGUAUCUUCCUCAGCAAUUUUUGGCGUCAUUUGUUUACAUUACAAGGCACACAUCUCAAACGAAGCACUGCCUACCAUCCACAAACGGACGGCCAAUCCGAGGUAUUGAAUAGGUGUUUGGAGACUUUUUUACGUUGUUUCACCUAUGAGAACCCAAAAAAGUGGUCUAAAUGGUUAGCAUGGUUGGAAUUUUGGUACAAUACGUCAUACCAUUCAGCUAUCCAAAGUUCCCCCUUCAAAGCAUUAUAUGGUCGCGAACCACCACUUCUACUUCCCUACAAAAAGGGGACAGCAGUAGUCUCUGCCGUAGAUUCCUUACUCGAGGCUCGGGAUGCUAUCCUUGAUGACCUUCGAAUGCACUUAUUACGAGCUCAACAACAAAUGCAGCGUUAUACGGCUUCACAGCGACAUCACCUCGAGUUUUAAGUGGGAGACCUGGUGUACCUCAAGCUCCGUCCAUACCGCCAGAAGUCCCUCGCACGCCGUACAAAUGAGAAGCUCUCCGCCCGGUAUUAUGGCCCUUAUCCUAUUUUAGAGCGAGUUGGCAAGGUUGCUUACAAACUGCACCUUCCCGAUCAGGCCACCAUACACCCCAUUUUUCAUGUUUCCCAGCUAAGGCGUGCCCUCGGAACCAACCAGUCAACACCGACCAUACCCCCUCAGCUUAACACCGAGUUGGAACUUCGUGUUGUGCCAGAAGCAGUCCUCCAACAGCGCCCCAAAGUCUCUGACCCCACUACCACAGAAGUCCUCAUUCAAUGGCACUCCCUUCCCGACUUUGAGGCGACUUGGGAAGAUUACAACACAAUCCUAGAGCAAUUUCCUUCUUUCCACCUUGAGGACAAGGUGAAGGUUCUUGGGGGGUAAUGAUAGACCUCCUCUGUUAGUCUAUAAAAGGAGGGGCCGAACAUAAAAUGUGGCUGUUAUUUUGAGUUUUUUUGUAUUCUUUUAGAUUCUGUAAUUGGGGGGGCUGAGCUGUCCUUUUGUUAUAAGCUCCUAGUUGGCAGUAAUUAAUUGUAACUAGUGCCUAUAUUAAGGAGAGGAGGUCUUUCUUGGAAUAUAGAGAAUUGUAUAGAGAAGUUUGUGGAGAGUUUCACCCUCUCGAAAGGUGAAGAUAGGAGAGUAGAGCCUCUCGAACAGCUCUGUGAUUGUAUCUACUUUUCUGUGACCAAUAAAAAGCUUCUUUGAGGGAAUCAAUUCUGGUGUUGUGUUAUUGAUAGAAAUUACUAACUAAGAAGAUUCUAUCACAAAUCUAGAGUGUAUUUCCUUUGUGAGACGGAAAUACCUUUACUUGUUCUAGCCACUUCCAUACCCAAGAAAUAUCGUAGCUUGCCUAGAUCUUUGACUUCAAAUUCUCUUGCUAAUUCUUCCUUGAUCGCUUGUAACUCGUGGCUGUCAUUUCCAGUCAAGAUGAUAUCAUCCACAUAUACGAUUAGAACGGCCAACUGUCCAUGUUUAGACCUUUUGAAGAACAAGGUGUGAUCUGCCUGCCCCUGCUUAUAACCACAUUUCUUUACUACCUUCCCAAGCCUAUCGAACCAAGCUCUAGGUGAUUGCUUCAACCCAUAGAGUGACUUCUCUAGUUUACAUACUUCUCCAGCAUUUAGUUCAGUACUAAAUCCUGGUGGUAUUGUCAUGUAAACUUUCUCUUCAAGAUUCCCAUUUAAGAAUGCAUUUUUAAUAUCUAGUUGAUAGAGUGGCCAAUCAAGAUUAGUUGCAAGACACAAGAGAGCUCUUACUGUGUUGAGCUUUGCAACGGGAGCAAAUGUCUCCGUAUAAUCAACACCAUAUGUUUGAGUAAAGCCACGUGCCACUAGUCGCGCCUUAAAGCGGUCAAUACUCCCAUCAGCCUGAUAUUUUACAGAGAACACCCAUUUAGAACUUAUUGUUUUGAUAUCCUUCGGCUGUGUCACAAGCUCCCAUGUACCAUUCUUUGUCAAUGCAUCCAUCUCUGCAUAUACUGCCUCUUUCCAUUCUUUGGACCUCAGUGCUUCAUAAAUGGUUCUAGGAAUGGUAAUCUUAUCCAAACCUGUUGCAAAAGCUUUGUAGUGCUUUGUCAGCUUUCCAUAUGACAUGAAUUUAUGUAUGGGAUGUUGUGUACAGCUUCGAACUCUUUUUCUUUUGGCUAUAGGCAGGUCCUCCAUGUCUUCGUUUGUGAUAGGCAUAAAGCCACUAUUUUCAGAGAUAAGAGAAGGUGUAGUAACAGAAGUACCUGAUUCUUUGUGGAAUUUCUCUUGACAAAUGCUCAGGCUCUCUUGGUUUAGACGAUUGGUCAACUUGCUGUGUGAGUGGCUGUACUGUGGAAGAUUUAUGCUACGAGUGUAGACAUGUAACGCCCCACUUCCUUAGAGUCGUUACUAAGUGAGUUUUAAAUGUGUACUUAACUCGCUAAUCGAGGUUUUAGGUCAAAAGUGUAACUAAAUCAUAAACAGUGAAAUAAACUUUGAAAAUAAUUCCAUUUACUAUAAAUCAUCAAGUGUUUGACACUUGGGAUCCAAAGAUACUGUUUAGAAUAUUUACAACAUAUAAUCACUAGUCAAGUCGACUAGACGACAAAAUUUAAGUUUUAAUACAACCAUCUUCCAAAACCACUGGCUGUGGCAGCCAGGCAGGCCAAACAUGUACGCGCCGCUUCACGCUCUCCGUACUCAUGGUUGGUUGACUUUCCUCUUGUCCUUACCUGCACCACAGAGCACCCGUGAGCCGAAACCCAGCAAAAAAACCCUCACAAGCAGAUAACAUAUGCAUAACAAACACUUAUCAGUUAAACAGGCCAUCAAUAGGCUAAACACAUACGGCCAUGCCGUUCCAGGCGCUUUACCAUGCCCUGGGUUCGCGGUCCACACCGUGAGGAUAUCCAAGGUAUCCUUUAGGGUCUCACCCUGGCAGCUCGCACUCCACAUGCUCAACGUUGCUCUCGGCCCCUUGCCGCUCUCGGCCUUGCACUCCACGUGCCUAACGCCGUUUCCGGUCCCUUACCGUUUCCGGCCUUGCCGACCUCGGCCUGCGCCGUUCUCGGCUCUCGCCGAACAUUUACACAUGUGAAUACAUAGCAUAAUAAAGCAAAUACUAAUUAUGAACAAAUCAAUCAAAGGGGCUACGCCCUGCAACACAGACAUAUAGGGCUCAGCCCUGCAUACAAGCUCUGUGGAAGACAGUGGUUUUCUUACUUGUGUCCCGAGCUCCUUAAGCACCGAAGUCACGGGCACGGUCCUCUAUCCUAAGCCUCUUCAACAAAACCUAGUCACAACACAUAUAAAACACUCUUUAAUACUAACCAAUCCAAAACCAUUUCCCGGGACCAAUCUCGUACUCUCGGGACCUCCAAUUUCCCAAAACAAAGUAGCGAACAACCCCCGAGCCCCCUGGGCAAAAACCCUAAAAUAGAAAUUUUCCCCUGCCCAAAAAUGGCCUAGCGCCGCGGCGCCCUCUAAUGAGGGCCGCGGCGCCCAGACUGCCCACGCCCCUGCUGUAGCGUAGCGCUGCGGCGCAGAAGAACAGGGCCGCGGCGCCCCUUCGCGAACCCAGAAUUCUGGGUUUUCCCCUGCGUUUUUCCCGAGCCAAAACACUUCCAAUUCAACCCAAACAUAUACCCAAACCCCAAAACCAAUUUGAAACCUCAAAUGAACCUUCUAACAUCCUAAAAACACCAACAACAAGGUCCAACACGCAAUCACACUCAAAAUCCACACUUUGGUUUCAAAUUCCAGAAACUUAAACCAUAGCUUUUAAAACUUAAACCAAGGCUUGAAAAAUGUAAACCAUGCUUCUAAAUCCUUAAACCACAUCAGAUACGAAAAUUCAAAGAUGUUUAAAACUCUUACCUCAAUCAAUAAUUCAGCUUGAAUUCUUUCUAAUCCCUGCCUUGAGCCAAUUCCUCCUGAUUACCCAAACUGAAUUCCUUACAAAACCAGCCACAACUAUCUUUAAAUUUCCACACUUACUUUCUAGAAAUUAAGCUUAAACUUAAACAAAAACAGAGACAAAUUCUUACCUCAGAAAAGUCUUGGUCUAUGAUGAAGUUUAAUUGCCUCCAACCACUUAAUUCUUCUCCUAGGUCUUUCAAAUUUCAGCUCCCUUCUUCCUUUCCUUUCUUUCUAGUUUUCUCCUCAAGCUUCCAGCCAAAACAGAAUAUGCCUAAGUGUUAAAACGUGAAUAACGUUUCCCUCAUUUGAAGUUAUCUAUAUCCUACCAAAAGACCAUUUUACCCCUCCAUGUAAUUCCCUUCCUAACUAAACCCCAAGGGCAUUUUUGCUAUUUCACCUUUCGUACAAUUCUAUCAUUUUUCUCACCUAAAAUUGUUACUCUCAAUAGUUACCAAUGGUCACUCAAGUUACUCAAUCACCAUUAACCAUUAACUCACAAACUCAAAUUAUAAAAUUCCCAAAAUACCCCUAGGCUCCUCCCGAGCCGGGUAUUUAAUCCCGUUGUGACUUUUAUACUAAUUAGCUCCCUAGGACCGUCCCGGCACGUGCAUCACAACAAUAUCACCACUCACACAUGGUAUUAAUCAUAUAACAUAAUUAUUACAUUUAUGGCCUCAGUGGGCUGAAAUUACCAAUUUACCCCUAACAACCAAAUGGGGCCCACAUGCUUAUUUAUUUCACCUAAACAUGCAUUCUAACCACAUAUUCAUUAAAUUCACAUAAAUUAAUACAGUAUAACAGUUAUUGCCCUCCCGGCACACUAAUCAAGACUCUAAGCCUUAUUAGCAAAUCUGGGUCGUUACAAGACAUGUAAUUCUUUGGAUUUGUCUUGAGGAGCUUUUAUUUCAGCAUGUGAGUUAUGAAUAUCACAAGGCAGAUUUGGAGUAGGAUAAGUAGGAAUAGGCAGAGGUGUUUCCCAAAAAUGAGCCUCAUCAAAAUUCUCCUCUUGAAGAGAAGUAUUUUGAUAGUAAGGUUGUGUUUAAAAAAAUGUGACAUCGUGAGAAACAUAAAAACGCCUGGUGGUAGGAUUGUAGCACUCCUGGGAUCUAAUUUCCCACGUUUAGAACGUGGUAUAUGAACAAAGGAAACGCAACCAAAUAUUUUGGCUGGUAAUUCAGACCCUAUUAGUCUAGUUUGAGGAUAGGAACUGCAUAAAACUGUGAGUGGAGUUUUAAAAUUUAACACUUUUGAUGGCAUCCUAUUAAUUAAAUAAGAUGCUGUUAAAAUGGCUUCUCCCCAAAAAAUUUUAGGAACAUUUGUUUUGAACAUAAUGGACCUAGCAACCUCUAAAAGAUGACGAUUCUUACGCUCUACUAUCCCAUUUUGUUGGGGGGAAUCAAUGCAAGAACUUUGAUGAAUAAUGCCAUAUUUUGUAAGAUAAUCAUUCAAUAUUUCAUUAAAAUACUCUGUUCCAUUAUCAGUGCAUAGAAUUUGAAUAUCAGUGUGGAAUUGAGUUUUAAUCCUUGAAUGAAAUUUUUUGAAAGUAGAUUCAGCAUCAGAUUUUUCUUUGAGUAAAUAAACCCAGCAAACCCUAGAAUGAUUAUCUAUGAAAGUAAUGAACCAUUUUGUUUUGGUUAGAUUAUUAAUUUUAGAUGGUCCCCACAAGUCACUAUGAAUUAAGGCAAAUGGAGUAGAGGCUGUAUAGGGUCGAGAUUUAAAGGGUAAACGAGUGUGUUUUGCAAGUUGACAUGAAUCACAAUGAAAAGAUCUCAAAUCUUUAUUUUUAAAUAGUAAUGGAAAUAAGUGUUUAAGGAAAGGAAAACUAGGAUGGCCAAGCCUACAGUGCCACAUCAUUAUUUUUUGAACAGAAGAGUCCCUAGAACUAGAAGAGGAA